UACGAGGGGGGCGAGCGUUGUUCGGAAUUAUUGGGCGUAAAGGGUGCGUAGGCGGCCUGACAAGUCUGAUGUGAAAUCCCUGGGCUCAACCCAGGGCCUGCAUCGGAAACUGUCGGGCUUGAGUAUGGGAGAGGUGAGUGGAAUUUCCGGUGUAGCGGUGAAAUGCGUAGAUAUCGGAAGGAACACCUGUGGCGAAAGCGGCUCACUGGACCAUUACUGACGCUGAGGCACGAAAGCUAGGGGAGCAACAG
rnacentral:rRNA from 1 species